UACAUUUGCGUCUAUAAACGUUUACUUGGGAACCCCGCAAAGUCACGUGAUCCUCUCGAAAUUUCGAUAUACAGGGUAGAUUGAGGGUAAAUUACGCUUAAUUAUUUGGACUAGUAGUAGCUGUACUGCGAGAUAGAAAAGUAGAGUAAUGCCUCCCAAAAGACCACUACUAAAGCGUCGCAGGAGCUCCUAUGACUUUUUUGAGCUAAACACACCAAAAGAAGAAAGGAAGGAGUUAAGGGAUAAGUGGAAAUUAAUGUCACCAGAGGAAAAGAGCCCUUAUCAGAUAAUGGCUGAGAAAGAAGAUGAAAACUAUAAAAACAAGCGGUCGUCGGGUAAAUAUGUAAUACAAUCCACUGGCAGUGGCAAGGAGAGGACCAAUGAUCAUG